UGCGUAGGUGGCUAAUUAAGUCAGUGGUGAAAGCCUGCAGCUCAACUGUAGAGGUGCCAUUGAUACUGGUUAGCUUGAGUAUGGACGAGGUAGGCGGAAUUUGUGGUGUAGCGGUGAAAUGCAUAGAUACCACAAAGAACACCGAUAGCGAAGGCAGCUUACUGGACCAUAACUGACACUGAGGCACGAAAGCGUGGGGAGCGAACA
rnacentral:rRNA from 1 species